UACGGAGGGUGCAAACGUUGCUCGGAUUCAUUGGGCGUAAAGGGUGCGUAGGUGGCGCGUUAAGUCAGGUGUGAAAUUUCGGAGCUUAACCCCGAAACUGCAUUUGAUACUGGCGUGCUUGAGGACUGGAGAGGAGACUGGAAUUCAUGGUGUAGCAGUGAAAUGCGUAGAGAUCAUGAGGAAGACCAGUGGCGAAGGCGGGUCUCUGGACAGUUCCUGACACUGAGGCACGAAGGCCAGGGGAGCAAACGGG
rnacentral:rRNA from 1 species